AAACUUACCUGACAGGGGAGAUACCAUGAUUAUGAAAGUGGUUUUCCCAGAGCGAGGCUUAUCCAUUGCACUCUGGAUAUGCUAACCCUUGUGAUUUCCCCAAAUCAGGGAAACUUGACUGCAUAAUUUGUGCCAGUGGGGGACUACUGGGGGACUGCUCUUCCCUUG